rnacentral:rRNA from 1 species
GAUGAACGCUGGCGGCGUGCCUAAUACAUGCAAGUCGAGCGAACAGACGAGGAGCUUGCUCCUCUGACGUUAGCGGCGGACGGGUGAGUAACACGUGGAUAACCUACCUAUAAGACUGGGAUAACUUCGGGAAACCGGAGCUAAUACCGGAUAAUAUAUUGAACCGCAUGGUUCAAUAGUGAAAGACGGUUUUGCUGUCACUUAUAGAUGGAUCGGCGCCGCAUUAGCUAGUUGGUAAGGUAACGGCUUACCAAGGCAACGAUGCGUAGCCGACCUGAGAGGGUGAUCGGCCACACUGGAACUGAGACACGGACCAGACUCCUACGGGAGGCAGCAGUAGGGAAUCUUCCGCAAUGGGCGAAAGCCUGACGGAGCAACGCCGCGUGAGUGAUGAAGGUCUUCGGAUCGUAAAACUCUGUUAUUAGGGAAGAACAAAUGUGUAAGUAACUAUGCACGUCUUGACGGUACCUAAUCAGAAAGCCACGGCUAACUACGUG